rnacentral:rRNA from 1 species
GUAAACUCCAUCCAAGGCUAAAUACUGGCACGAGUCCGAUAGUAGACAAGUACCGUGAGGGAAAGUUGAAAAGUACUCUGAAGAGAGAGUAAAUAGUACGUGAAACCGAUUGCAGGGAAGGCUUGGAGAAUUCUCGCUCGGAGCCUUGCUGUGUGUUGGGCACGCUGACGAGCCUGGAAAUGGAUUUGACAUCAGGACCUUCUUGUGUCUGUGGGAGGGCCACGCUGACGGAGAGCUUGCCUACUCGAAGUCCAUCUCCGAGCCUGGAAAUGGUUUGGCGCAUUCGUGCGGUCCAAAGUGGGUGGUAAACUCCAUCCAAGUUUGUGGACAGGACAAUGUGAUACUGGCACGAGUCCGAUAUCGCGAGCGCCAAGCUUCAUGCUUGGAGAACGAGUCCGAUAGCACGAAACCCAAAGGCGCAAUGAAAGUGAAUGACUGUUUUUGCAGUCUGGGGCAUGCGCGCCCACCCGAAGUCCAGCUCCGAUU